AUUGAACGCUGGCGGCAGGCCUAACACAUGCAAGUCGAACGAGUGGCGGACGGGUGAGUAAUGUCUGGGAAACUGCCCGAUGGAGGGGGUUCGCUACCGGAAACGGUAGCUAAUACCGCAUACAAGCGGCUGUGCCCAGGUGGGAUUAGCUAGUAGGUGGGGUAAAGGCUUACCUAGGCGACGAUCCCUAGCUGGUCUGAGAGGAUGACCAGCCACACGGGAACUGAGACACGGUCCAGACUCCUACGGGAGGCAGCAGUGGGGAAUAUUGCACAAUGGGCGAAAGCCUGAUGCAGCCAUGCCGCGUGUAUGAAGAAGGCCUUCGGGUUGUAAAGUACUUUCAGCGAGGAGGCGUUACUCGCAGAAGAAGCACCGGCUAACUACGUGCCAGCAGCCGCGGUAAUAC
rnacentral:rRNA from 1 species